rnacentral:rRNA from 1 species
GGUUAAGCGACUAAGCGUACACGGUGGAUGCCCUGGCAGUCAGAGGCGAUGAAGGACGUGCUAAUCUGCGAUAAGCGUCGGUAAGGUGAUAUGAACCGUUAUAACCGGCGAUUUCCGAAUGGGGAAACCCAGUGUGUUUCGACACACUAUCAUUAACUGAAUCCAUAGGUUAAUGAGGCGAACCGGGGGAACUGAAACAUCUAAGUACCCCGAGGAAAAGAAAUCAACCGAGAUUCCCCCAGUAGCGGCGAGCGAACGGGGAGCAGCCCAGAGCCUGAAUCAGUAUGUGUGUUAGUGGAAGCGUCUGGAAAGGCGCGCGAUACAGGGUGACAGCCCCGUACACAAAAAUGCACAUAUUGUGAGCUCGAUGAGUAGGGCGGGACACGUGGUAUCCUGUCUGAAUAUGGGGGGACCAUCCUCCAAGGCUAAAUACUCCUGACUGACCGAUAGUGAACCAGUACCGUGAGGGAAAGGCGAAAAGAACCCCGGCGAGGGGAGUGAAAAAGAACCUGAAACCGUGUACGUACAAGCAGUGGGAGCACGCUUAGGCGUGUGACUGCGUACCUUUUGUAUAAUGGGUCAGCGACUUAUAUUCUGUAGCAAGGUUAACCGAAUAGGGGAGCCGAAGGGAAACCGAGUCUUAACUGGGCGUUAAGUUGCAGGGUAUAGACCCGAAACCCGGUGAUCUAGCCAUGGGCAGGUUGAAGGUUGGGUAACACUAACUGGAGGACCGAACCGACUAAUGUUGAAAAAUUAGCGGAUGACUUGUGGCUGGGGGUGAAAGGCCAAUCAAACCGGGAGAUAGCUGGUUCUCCCCGAAAGCUAUUUAGGUAGCGCCUCGUGAAUUCAUCUCCGGGGGUAGAGCACUGUUUCGGCAAGGGGGUCAUCCCGACUUACCAACCCGAUGCAAACUGCGAAUACCGGAGAAUGUUAUCACGGGAGACACACGGCGGGUGCUAACGUCCGUCGUGAAGAGGGAAACAACCCAGACCGCCAGCUAAGGUCCCAAAGUCAUGGUUAAGUGGGAAACGAUGUGGGAAGGCCCAGACAGCCAGGAUGUUGGCUUAGAAGCAGCCAUCAUUUAAAGAAAGCGUAAUAGCUCACUGGUCGAGUCGGCCUGCGCGGAAGAUGUAACGGGGCUAAACCAUGCACCGAAGCUGCGGCAGCGACACUAUGUGUUGUUGGGUAGGGGAGCGUUCUGUAAGCCUGUGAAGGUGUGCUGUGAGGCAUGCUGGAGGUAUCAGAAGUGCGAAUGCUGACAUAAGUAACGAUAAAGCGGGUGAAAAGCCCGCUCGCCGGAAGACCAAGGGUUCCUGUCCAACGUUAAUCGGGGCAGGGUGAGUCGACCCCUAAGGCGAGGCCGAAAGGCGUAGUCGAUGGGAAACAGGUUAAUAUUCCUGUACUUGGUGUUACUGCGAAGGGGGGACGGAGAAGGCUAUGUUGGCCGGGCGACGGUUGUCCCGGUUUAAGCGUGUAGGCUGGUUUUCCAGGCAAAUCCGGAAAAUCAAGGCUGAGGCGUGAUGACGAGGCACUACGGUGCUGAAGCAACAAAUGCCCUGCUUCCAGGAAAAGCCUCUAAGCAUCAGGUAACAUCAAAUCGUACCCCAAACCGACACAGGUGGUCAGGUAGAGAAUACCAAGGCGCUUGAGAGAACUCGGGUGAAGGAACUAGGCAAAAUGGUGCCGUAACUUCGGGAGAAGGCACGCUGAUAUGUAGGUGAAGUCCCUCGCGGAUGGAGCUGAAAUCAGUCGAAGAUACCAGCUGGCUGCAACUGUUUAUUAAAAACACAGCACUGUGCAAACACGAAAGUGGACGUAUACGGUGUGACGCCUGCCCGGUGCCGGAAGGUUAAUUGAUGGGGUUAGCCGCAAGGCGAAGCUCUUGAUCGAAGCCCCGGUAAACGGCGGCCGUAACUAUAACGGUCCUAAGGUAGCGAAAUUCCUUGUCGGGUAAGUUCCGACCUGCACGAAUGGCGUAAUGAUGGCCAGGCUGUCUCCACCCGAGACUCAGUGAAAUUGAACUCGCUGUGAAGAUGCAGUGUACCCGCGGCAAGACGGAAAGACCCCGUGAACCUUUACUAUAGCUUGACACUGAACAUUGAGCCUUGAUGUGUAGGAUAGGUGGGAGGCUUAGAAGUGUGGACGCCAGUCUGCAUGGAGCCGACCUUGAAAUACCACCCUUUAAUGUUUGAUGUUCUAACGUUGACCCGUAAUCCGGGUUGCGGACAGUGUCUGGUGGGUAGUUUGACUGGGGCGGUCUCCUCCUAAAGAGUAACGGAGGAGCACGAAGGUUGGCUAAUCCUGGUCGGACAUCAGGAGGUUAGUGCAAUGGCAUAAGCCAGCUUGACUGCGAGCGUGACGGCGCGAGCAGGUGCGAAAGCAGGUCAUAGUGAUCCGGUGGUUCUGAAUGGAAGGGCCAUCGCUCAACGGAUAAAAGGUACUCCGGGGAUAACAGGCUGAUACCGCCCAAGAGUUCAUAUCGACGGCGGUGUUUGGCACCUCGAUGUCGGCUCAUCACAUCCUGGGGCUGAAGUAGGUCCCAAGGGUAUGGCUGUUCGCCAUUUAAAGUGGUACGCGAGCUGGGUUUAGAACGUCGUGAGACAGUUCGGUCCCUAUCUGCCGUGGGCGCUGGAGAACUGAGGGGGGCUGCUCCUAGUACGAGAGGACCGGAGUGGACGCAUCACUGGUGUUCGGGUUGUCAUGCCAAUGGCACUGCCCGGUAGCUAAAUGCGGAAGAGAUAAGUGCUGAAAGCAUCUAAGCACGAAACUUGCCCCGAGAUGAGUUCUCCCUGAC